CGGGGUGAGUAAUGUCUGGGAAACUGCCUGAUGGAGGGGGAUAACUGCUGGAAACGGUAGCUAAUACCGCAUAACGUCGCAAGACCAAAGAGGGGGACCUUCGGGCCUCUUGCCAUCGGAUGUGCCCAGAUGGGAUUAGCUAGUAGGUGGGGUAACGGCUCACCUAGGCGACGAUCCCUAGCUGGUCUGAGAGGAUGCCAGCCACACUGGAACUGAGACACGGUCCAG
rnacentral:rRNA from 1 species